CUGACUGUGCUAAGGUAGCAUAAUAAUUAGUAAUUUAAUUGAUUACUAGGAUGAAUGGUCUGACGAAAGAUAAAUCUUCUUAAAUUUAAUAGAAAUUGAUAUGUAGGUAAAAAAGCCUACCAACAAUAGAUAGACGAUAAGACCCUAAAACCUUCAUUAGUUUAAUAACUUUUUACUGGGGCGGUAAAUAAUUAAGCAUAAUUUCUCAAAACAUUAUGAAUGAUAUUUAAUAACUUCUGAUAAACACAAAAAGGUACUUUAGGGAUAACAGCAUAAUUAUUAUUUAGAGUAAACCUAUCGACAUAAUAGAUUAUGACCUCGAUGUUGAAUUGAUAAUACUUCACUAAGCAGAAAUAGUGAUUGCAGGUCUGUUCGACCUUUAAUUUAUCACGUGAUCUGAGU
rnacentral:rRNA from 1 species